rnacentral:rRNA from 1 species
AGAGUUUGAUCCUGGCUCAGGACGAACGCUGGCGGCGUGCUUAACACAUGCAAGUCGAACGAAAAGAGGGAAAGAGCUUGCUCUUUCCGGAAUUGAGUGGCAAACGGGUGAGUAACACGUAAACAACCUGCCUUCAGGAUGGGGACAACAGACGGAAACGACUGCUAAUACCGAAUAAGUUCCAAGGGCCGCAUGGCCCAUGGAAGAAAAGGUGGCCUCUACCUGUAAGCUAUCGCCUGAAGAGGGGUUUGCGUCUGAUUAGCUGGUUGGAGGGGUAACGGCCCACCAAGGCGACGAUCAGUAGCCGGUCUGAGAGGAUGAACGGCCACACUGGAACUGAGACACGGUCCAGACUCCUACGGGAGGCAGCAGUGGGGAAUCUUCCGCAAUGGGCGAAAGCCUGACGGAGCAACGCCGCGUGAGUGAUGACGGCCUUCGGGUUGUAAAACUCUGUGAUCCGGGACGAAAAGGCAGAGUGCGAAGAACAAACUGCAUUGACGGUACCGGAAAAGCAAGCCACGGCUAACUACGUGCCAGCAGCCGCGGUAAUACGUAGGUGGCAAGCGUUGUCCGGAAUUAUUGGGCGUAAAGCGCGCGCAGGCGGCUUCCCAAGUCCCUCUUAAAAGUGCGGGGCUUAACCCCGUGAUGGGAAGGAAACUGGGAAGCUGGAGUAUCGGAGAGGAAAGUGGAAUUCCUAGUGUAGCGGUGAAAUGCGUAGAGAUUAGGAAGAACACCGGUGGCGAAGGCGACUUUCUGGACGAAAACUGACGCUGAGGCGCGAAAGCGUGGGGAGCAAACAGGAUUAGAUACCCUGGUAGU